rnacentral:rRNA from 1 species
AAACCAACUGGGAUUACCUUAGUAACGGCGAGUGAAGCGGUAAAAGCUCAAAUUUGAAAUCUGGUACUUUCAGUGCCCGAGUUGUAAUUUGUAGAAUUUGUCUUUGAUUAGGUCCUUGUCUAUGUUCCUUGGAACAGGACGUCAUAGAGGGUGAGAAUCCCGUUUGGCGAGGAUACCUUUUCUCUGUAAGACUUUUUCGAAGAGUCGAGUUGUUUGGGAAUGCAGCUCAAAGUGGGUGGUAAAUUCCAUCUAAAGCUAAAUAUUGGCGAGAGACCGAUAGCGAACAAGUACAGUGAUGGAAAGAUGAAAAGAACUUUGAAAAGAGAGUGAAAAAGUACGUGAAAUUGUUGAAAGGGAAGGGCAUUUGAUCAGACAUGGUGUUUUUGCAUGCACUCGCCUCUCGUGGGCUUGGGCCUCUCAAAAUUUCACUGGGCCAACAUCAAUUCUGGCAGUACGAGUAAUAACACUAAGUAAAGAUUAGGUACGUACCUUACGGUUACGGUAGUUGUUAAAGUCGUAACUUUUUGGGAAAUUAACCUGGUUACGCGGUUAACG